rnacentral:rRNA from 1 species
UCGAGAAUAUUUAGCAAUGGACGAAAGUCUGACUAUGUGACGCCGCGUGAGGGAUGAAGGUCUUCGGAUUGUAAACCUCUUUCGAUAGGGAAGAAAACCUGUUCUUAACUGAACAGACUGACGGUACCUAGAUAAGAAGCCACGGCUAACUCUGUGCCAGCAGCCGCGGUAAUACAGAGGUGGCGAGCGUUACUCGGAUUUAUUGGGUGUAAAGGGCAGGUAGGUGUCUCAACAAAUUAGAAGUGAAAUCCUGCAGCUCAACUGCAGAACUGCUUUUAAAACUGUUGAGAUUGAGACUGGGAGAGGAGAGCGGAAUUCUCGGUGUAAGAGUGAAAUCUGUAGAUAUCGAGAAGAACACCAGUGGCGAAGGCGGCUCUCUGGUCCAGCUCUGACGCUGAACUGCGAAAGCUAGGGGAGCAAACAGG